rnacentral:sRNA from 1 species
GUAUUUCCGCCGGCGCGAAACGAGCGUAGCUUCCUUGUCGUGUGGCCUCAGUCCUUCGCCGUCCCUCGCCGUCCUUCGCCAUCGCACGCCACCGCACCCCAUCUCUCGAAAUCUGCAGACAUCUUGAUUUUUCCCACGCUGUCUGUCAGGUCUCCGCCGCCACUCGACGCCAGGGCGCCGGGCCUUGUGGGCUGUGCUGCACCUCGGACGGCUUCGCACCAGCCAGCGCCCUCUCUCUCCUGCAGCACUCUGAUCUGCACCCCCUGAGGGGCUUCCACUGUCCGCGGGGUGAGAAUGCCCCUGGGAGUGUCACAUGACUGCCGCCCCAUGUGUGUGAGAGGCGUCCUCUGGGAGAGCAUGGAUCCUGAGGUCCCAGGAUUGUCAGCUGACCUCUGUCCUGUGUGCCCAGUGGCCCCAGGUGACGUGUCUUCAAGAAGAGGCUGAGCUGCGGUGCUUGUAAGAGUCAUGUGCUGUUCCUGGGGCUUGGAUGAUGUAGGGGAAGCAAGGUGAAAGUGGUAUCCCGUGGUUCCACGUUCUGUCCUGCUGUGGGGCUGUCCCUCACAUGCUUUCAGUGGCUGUUGCAGAGGAAGAGCCUCCGGAAAUCUGCGUGGGUCUCAGCCUUAGAUCCAAGGACAGUCCAAGGAAGUCCUAAGACCAUGGAGUUGGUGAUCUGGGAUCUGGGUUUGCUGAUAUUUCUCACCGUGAAUCUCUUGGUGGUGUUUGUGGGCACGAGAGGGGCAGAGAAUGGAGAGUGAGGCUACCACAUGAAGCGUCACCAGAGCUGCUCCCUGCUGCCUGCUCAGAGCACCCCGGAUCCACUGUUCAAUCUGCACAAGAUUCGGGGUCCAGACAUGGGAGACUUCAGCUGCCUCAGAGGACCGUGGACAGGGAAGGCCAGCCUCGCAUCCCUCUGUCCAUGCCUGGAAUGACUUUAAUAACCAAGAGUUUUAUUUUUGAAUUUGUAGCUGUCGUUCACUUUUUACCCACCCAUUCAAUAAACCUUACAGAAUUGCUCCAAAAAAAAAAAAAAAAAA